rnacentral:lncRNA from 10 species
UGAUUCCAGAAGAGAGGCUGCUUGUCUGUUUGGGAAGAAAAACCUCCCAACUCUUGCUUAUGAUCUCUGGUCCUAUCUCUUUUUCUCCUGCUUCAGUGAGUAGGGGGUUUGGCAAUUUAAAACAUUUUUAUUUUUAUUGUUUUGAAUCGGGCAGCCUCCAGAAUCACAGCAGAUUCAAAGAGAUUCCCUCGGGGUGGCAAUUUUACCUACUCUCAGCUCAGGGCUGCCUCUGCUCAGCAGACAUUAGACAACAGUGCUGAGAAUAUUUUCCUCCUAAUAAGAAAAUUCCAAUCACAAUGAUCAUGCUCAGAUACCUAAAGAGCUGCUGGAAUCUGAGCUCUGAAUACCUGGGGAAUUACUAUACUGUGAAAAAAGGCAGUCUGAAGAAAGAAAGGACAAUAAGAUGGGUAACCAACCAUCUUCAGUCUGUAUGUCUCUCCAAUGCAUCCUGAAUCACUGGGAUUCCUUUGAAAAGAGAAAAUCAACCUUCUUCUUCCUGUUUCCUCCUCUGUCCUCUCUUCAUGGAUGAAUAAUCAUGUCUCCAUACCACAGGACAUUUCCCUCUGUGAAAAGUUUAAUUUCUGCAUUAAACCACUUGGCUUAAAAAAAAAUGAACUGGGAAGACAUUAUAACUCACAUUCCCCUCUGUGAAAAGUUUAAUUUCCAUAAACCUUAAAUCACUUGACUUAAAAAAAAAAUGAACUGGGAAAACUCUAACUGAGCAAUCUCUUGAGGAAGGACAAUGUUUACAGUAUGCAAAUAACCUAUUUGUCUGCUCCCCCUUUACGGAACUCCAGGGUCAAAGGGCUUCAUAGCUCGGGGGAAGGGAACCCAGAAGCCUGACAUGCUGGCAAACGAGUAAAAGUUUUUUACCCAUCAGACUUCUGGCUUUUCUCUCUCUCUGUGCAAACUGUUUGAAUGAAUGAUAAAAAUCACUGUUUAUAUACUCUGAAACGUUGUGAUUAAUGGAAAAAGGAUUUGUGAGGUGAGUCUUAAGCUAUAGAGAAUCUGUGAUACUUUGUGUUAAGAAUUUCUCUUUCUGUAUCUUUCUAUCAGAAAGAGGGGUACCUUAGGAUAAAAUGUGGGUCUAGGCCCAAAUGUCCAACAAUGAUAGACUGGGUUAAGAAAAUGUGGC